rnacentral:sRNA from 1 species
AAAAAGAAUUAAAAAUAAAAUAAAAA